rnacentral:rRNA from 1 species
GCUAAAACUCAAAGGAAUUGACGGGAGCUCACAGAAGCGGUGGAGCAUGUUGCUUAAUUCGAUGCAACGCGAAGAACCUUAUCCUGGGCUUGACAUGUACGGAUGCCUACUGGGAAACCAGGUCGGUUGCCUUUCGGGGUGAAACGUACACAGGUGCUGCAUGGCUGUCGUCAGCUCGUGUCGUGAGAUGUUGGGUUAAGUCCCGUAACGAGCGAAACCCUUGUCGUUAGUUGCCAGCGCGUUAUGGCGGGGACUCUAGCGAGACUGCCGGUGUUAAACCGGAGGAAGGUGGGGAUGACGUCAAGUCCUCAUGGCCUUUAUGCCCAGGGCUGCAAACGUGCUACAAUGGGUGGGACAAACCGACGCAAAACCGCGAGGUCGAGCAAAUCGGAAAAACCCACCCCCAGUUCGGAUCGCAGUCUGCAACUCGACUGCGUGAAGGUGGAAUCGCUAGUAAUCGCAGAUCAGCUAUGCUGCGGUGAAUGUGUUCCUGAGCUUUGUACACACCGCCCGUCAAGUCAUGGAAGCCGGUAGUACCCGAAGUCGCUGUAUCUCAGCAGUGCCGAAGGUAAGAUUGGUGACUGGGACUAAGUCGUAACAAGGUAGCC